rnacentral:rRNA from 1 species
CAAUAGCGUAUAUUAAAGUUGUUGCAGUUAAAAAGCUCGUAGUUGGAUUUCGGGGCAGCCUGGCUGGUCCGCCGCAAGGCGAGUACUGGUCAGCCGCCCUUCCUCUCGAAAGCCCCGACUGCUCUUCAUUGCAGUGGUCGGGUAGUUCGGGACGUUUACUUUGAAAAAAUUAGAGUGUUCAAGGCAGGCCUACGCCUGAAUACAUUAGCAUGGAAUAAUGGAAGAGGACCUCGGUCCUAUUUUGUUGGUUUCCAGGGCCGAAGUAAUGAUUAAGAGGGACAGUUGGGGGCAUUCGUAUUUAAUUGUCAGAGGUGAAAUUCUCGGAUUUAUGAAAGACGAACAACUGCGAAAGCAUUUGCCAAGGAUGUUUUCAUUGA